AUUCACCAGAUUCGUUUUUUCUAUUGAUGUCAGAAGUUAGUUGGUAAACACGUUUGGGCUUGUUCAUAUUUUGCUCCAUUGGCAUACAAGGCCUCUAGUGUCUGUAUUGGUGGAAAUCAUCAAUCACAGAAUUAGGAUAGGAAAUGACUUUGACACUUCUUCAGACUGGAACUCCUUACCAUGCAUUGUAGUCUUUACCUGUCUUGCUAGGGAAUUCAGGCCUGAUGAGUAGUAGUCUUCAUGGAAUGCAUCUGAUAUUUUAUAGUUGAGGACACCCACUGAUGGUUUCCACCAUAAUCUAGAGAAUGCACCAAUAAGACUCGCCUGUAGGGAGCAUCACAAAUUUACAUUUUCCGUCGGUAGGGAAACCAUUCAAAAGCGCAGGCUCGGAAAUAUAAGCAACAUGAAUUACCACGAAGUUGCCAGUUGCGACAUGAGUGACUCGUACACAGAUGACCAGCAUCGAGCACCGGAGAUGAGCUUAUCUCAACCCGCGAUCCUCCGCCCUAAUACCGGUACUUGGAGAAAUCUGGCGUAUCGAGUGAUCCGAUAUGAGAAGGAGAAGGAGGCGCUAGGUGAACAGCCCAACCUCUCCUUCUCUCAGCCUCUCAUCUUCCAGGCGUCCAACUGGAGAGGGUGAGUCCCACAUAGCUAACAUCUUCAUCUCGUAGUCUUAGAGCUUCUCUUCACAUAUGCACAAGCUUCUAAUGAAAAAAUAUGAAUAAUUAAUUGUUAACAGAGGUUAGAAGGGGUUACUGCUUUAUGCACCCUUGGAUUACAUGCAGUGAAUUGUUGCACACAUUGGAGGCUGUUUAAUAAAGCUGCCUGUACACAAGUUGUAAGUUUUACCGGUACUCACAACUUUUUGCGUGACUGGAGACCCUAUCUUGUGGGAACUGAGAUUUAUACCCCAAGUUUUGCCAGUUAUAGAGUAUAUCUUCUAUACAUGUAUGCACUGUAACCUCAAUCACAUAUCAAAGAAUAUUGAAUUUUCUAUUUAGAUGCUUGUUUAUGAGAAAUUUAUUCUCCAUAUAAAGAUACCAGCUUUUUGGGGGAAUCGAAAUGAUAUAGAAUCUGAUCUGUAGCACCUACAUGUAAAGGGUCUCCAGUCAUGCGGAACUUAUGGACAGCUUUACGAAACACCUCCUCGCUUCUGCUUUUGUGAUUUUAUAAAAGUACAGAGAUGACAAGAUGAUUCAGGCAGAUAUACAAGAUACUUGCACCCACUUGCUCACUGCAACCAUCCUGCCUGUGGUGAAUCUACAGGUACAUGUAGGACUAUGGUAUCUCAAUGCUGUACAGAGCACACACUUUAAAAAAAUCAUUAAAGGAGAAUGAAACCCUUGAAACCAGCUGAAUCCAUAUCAAAGAGAAAAAUCAAAGAAACAUAUUGUUGAAAGUUUGAGGAAGAUUGAAUGAAUAAUAAGAAAGUUAUGAGCAUUUGAAUAUUGAGAUCACUAAUGCCAUGUAGAUCCUCCCAUUGGCAAUGCGACCAAGAUCUGUGAUGUCACACACGUACAACUCCCUCACUACUUUAGUACUUAUUUCACUUAUAUUCUCACUUUUAUAGAGUCUAUCACAAGGUGAGGUGUUCUCUUUAUGAGAGGACAAGUACAGAGGUUUCACAAUAUUAUAUCAUUGAUGAAUCGUUUGUCAUAUGAUUAGAAUGAGCAAAAAGAGAUGUUUUGGGGUAUAUUUUCAGUGUCCAAAAGGGGAGAGUUGUUCAUCUGUGACAUCAUAGAUCUUGGUCGCAUUGCCAAUUAGAGGAUCUCCAUAGCAUUAGUGAUCUCAACAUUUAAAUGCUCAUAAUUCUUCUAUUGCUAGUCCUAUUUUACUCAAACUUUUGUUGAUCUUAUUCUUUGAUUUUUCUGCUUUCACAAAAGCCAACUUGCUCCAAGAGUUUCAUUCUCCUUUAAAACAUUACUUUUGUGACUAAAAUUACUAAUUUUCAUACAGUUGCAAUUUAUUUUCAUAAGUAAAUUUGGAAUAAUUUUUAAAUUCACCAGAGUGCUCAAAAACCUGAAUUUGGGGCAUAUUUUUGUGUACACCCUCUAUUGGUGGAAAGUAAUAUGGCAAGAAAAUUUUCAUUUUUCAAUCUCUAUUUUAAUUAAGAAAAAAUAGUUUAAAGAAUCAAAUUUACUUUUUUAAUAAGAGCCAGGUUAUAUGAUGAAUAGCUGUAAUGGAAACUGACAGUGUAAAAAAAUCAAGCAUUUGUCCCAAAGAAAAAGAGAAAAAUAAGCCAAACAUUGCCAACCUUAUUUUGCCACACAUGGAGAUGUAACAGAGAACAAAGUAAUAACUUAUAAAUUUGUUCAUUGAAUGAGUGCUUGCACCUAUGGUUGACUUGAUAGAUGUAAUGAGAAUUCUAAUGAUGAGAAGGCAAGAAGAUCUUGUCCUUGAAUUGUCUAGUCCUUAUCAAGUUGAUUUGAUGAGAUUCAAGAUCUUGUCUUGUCUCCGUCAAGUCAACACGAUGAGGUUUAUGAUCUCAUCUUCCUGUCUUCAAAAUUGAACUGACAAGCUGCAGUUCUUCUCAUCCUUAAAGACCCAGGCCCGUAUUCUGAAGUUGGGUUAAUUUAAACUCUGGUUAACCAUGAAUCGUCGCACAGAUAUUUAACAGCACAGGUUUGAUUGAUCAUCUCAUCUGUUACUCAGACCAUUCAUAUAUGUCUGGGAAUGAUAACUGGAUUUGUUUUCUUCACCAUACAAGCAUGAUGAAAGAGUAUUGAACAUAAGAAACUUGCAGUUUUAAUAGAAUUUCUAAAUUUUCUGCUUCCUGUAAUUUUAGGACAGAGUUAGACCAUGGCCUAUUAAAGUUAAACCGAACCUCAGAAUACAGGCCUUAGUAUCUUUGUCUUUUCUUUUCUUAUUUUUUGUCUUGUCCUUGAUUAUCAUUGUCAUCUUUGUGUGCUCGUCCAGCUUCUGUAGCUUAUAGAUCGAAGCCAAAAUCAUAUGACAGGAGGGGGGGGGGUGAGUGUAGGGGUACUUAAAUGAUACUAGAGAAAAGGAAAAGAGGAAUAAACAAUGAAAGAAAUCUUUUUCACAAGUUUCUUUCAUGAAUUGGUCUCACAAUCAGGAAUAGGCCUUUUCACUGAAUCAUACUUUGAAAACUUAAUAUCCAGAUAAUGCAAUAUUUCAUUUAUUUGAAGGGGAAAUUAAAGUUGUUUGAAUUUGUUUGAAACAAAUUGAAGGAAAUGAUGAGAGAAAAUAAUAAGAGAAAGAGGAAAAAGGGGAAAAGAGAGGAAUAGGUAAGUAAAUAAAGGAGUGAAGACUGAAAAAAAGAAAAGGAAUAAAAAAUAAAAAGAUAAAAUGAAACAAUAGUUUAAAAAAGAAGAUAAGAAACUAGGGUUAAAUGAACCCUUUUCCUGCCUUGAUAAAUAACUCCCUUUAACCUCUGCUGCUAGAAAAUAGAGGGAAAUUAAUUUAGAAAUUCAUGUAAGUUGCAACCUCGUCCUGUCUUUAUUCCUUUUUAAUAAAGUUUAAUGUAAUGAAGACAUCUUCACCUACAUUUACAUGUACAUCCUGGUAAUUAUUCUAGUUCAUCAUAUAUGAAAUAUUAAUUUUGUUCAAUGGAAAUAUCACAUGCAAAAUUGUCAUAGCUUUUUGUUGUCCUUGUUCAAUGCUUUAUUGCGAUAGUGUAUUGAUCAUUGUAGAACUAUAAAAGGUAAUGAGGUCAUAUAAGCUUCUUCCUUGUCCUAUUUGCUAAUGAUUAACACAAAUGUUUUAAUAUACUGUACGUUGGUGUCUUUAUAGAUGAUACAAGAUCUCCUCUACAAACAAUUUUUCACAAGAAGUAUUUUUUUUUUUCAUAUUCAUCCCAUUUUAUUUUCCCUUCCUGUCCAUGGAUGUCAUUUUGCCCACUGAUGUUGAAGUUUUAGAACUCAUCUACUUCAUCAGAAGAAAAUAAAAACUGUUUAAUAUGGACAGAUCUUGUUACUCGGUAUUGUUAAAAAAGAAAGAUGCAAAUACUUACCUUUUAGGAUGCAUUCAGAGUUUCAGAAUGUUAUGUAGGCCUAUUUAUUAGAAAGAAAUGAAAUCUUACCAAUAUUGAUAAUAGGCCUAUAUCUCCAAUUUUCUUGAUUGCCAGAAUUAUCUAAAAUCUGAAUUUGUCCUACGUGAAAGAGUGCUUCAAAUACUAUUGUACUGGAAAGAUAUCAAGUAAUCCAAAACCCCAUUUUCCAUUUCCUGGUAACUUGUCUGUAUUUUUAUUGAUAUUGUCUCCUUUUAAAGGGGAUCCAGCCUUGGUCAUAAAAUGUUGUGUUGGAAAGGAGAAAAAAAAGUGAAAGUUUUAAAGAAAUCGGAUAAGCAAUAUAAAGUUAUGGCUGCUUUAAAAUCACAAUCCCUAAGAUGUAGAUUUCAAAUUGGCAACUGGGUAAGGAAAUUAUGACAAGGGGCAAGGACAACUUUCCCAUAGGCUAUGUUCUUAAUCAUCAGGGAUUUGUGGUUUUCUCCUAAGAACCCAUUCCCCUGGGGCAGUAAUCUAAAUAUAGCCCAUGCAGGUAGCAUUCAUGUCCUCAUGAAAGAAAAUAUAAUUUGAAGAAAAACUUUUGAAAUUUUGAAUUUUAGCUAUUUUAUGUAUGUGAGUAUGUGGAAGAGUAGUUCUUGCCUUACAUCACUAAGUAUGACAUCACACAUGCGGCCAAUUUGAAGUCUCCAUUGGUUUUAAUGAUUACCAAUUUUUAUAAAGUUCUUUUAAAAAUUCACAACUUUCUUUAACAUUGUUUGUCCAAUAUUGUUCAAACUUUCACCUAUCAACUUGUCUGAUUUUUCUUUUUCCUCUAAAAACUAGUUUUUAUUUGGGUUGGAUUCUCCUUUUAUCAGCAAUCAUACGGUACAGGAAAGCAGUAAAAAGGGUAUUACCAUACAUCUGUAUAAAAAUGUUGUCUUACGGCUUUGCUUGCAAUAGAUAAUUUCUGUCAGGACUUUUGAUUUAAAAUGAUUUAAUUGUUAUAGCGCUUUGUGCAAAAUUAGUAAAAUGUUAAGUAUUUUUUCAGCUUUUAGGACAGUGGUAUUUUUUAUAAUAUUUUGCUGAUAGCAUACUAUUUUGCAGGAAAUCAUUUAAUACUAAUACUAACAAACAAUUUAUUGUUUGAAGCAUUACUGUGUAAGCCACUAGAAAGGCUCCUGUUGCAAUGCCUUUCAUAUGCACCACGUGCACCACAAGUCUGCUGUGAAAUUACUUGUACUCACAUAUAAAUCUUAUGUUUCCCUGUGUUUAUUGCGAUGCAUAAAAAAACACAUAUUUUGGUCUGCAUAAAUUUCCUGUGCAAUACCAGAGCGUAUCCCUAAAAGCACCAAAAUCUAGGGCUGGGACUAAAACCCGGGUACCCGGGUCCUGUCCGUAAGAAAAAUCAGUACCCGAUACCUGAAAUUGCUUACCAAUAUAGCGUAAAUGUAUAUGAUUUGUAUUGCGUAGUGUAAGACAUGAUUGUAACUCAUCACAAAAGUACACAAGUCUCAUUUUGAAUCUCACCAAUUACCCUUGGAAUAUCUAUUAAAUUUUCCCCAUUAUAUGAUCAUUUAUAAUCCUCUGAUAGAGAUUUGAUAUCUUCAGAUCAUAGGGUUGCUAUCAAAGUCACAAUUAGUGCCAUGAUUUGAUUUCCUUUUCUCCUGAUAAACAAAUCAAUGAAGAGGAUACAUUUAUUUUGAGUACGCCCUCUACAGUUGAUGAUGUGUCAUUGAAUGGGUGGUGAGUUUGAGUUUGAAGAACUAGCAAUGGGAGAAAGUACUUGAUGUUUGAACAUGAUUCUACAUUUCUACUCAUACUCGUUCCUGCCUAUUUUCACAUAAUUUUCUCAGAAUCGGUCCUGCCACUUUUCACAUUAAUCGGGGGUGAUAUCUUUUUUUUCUCCAAGAGCAAAUGAUUGGGGGGGGGGGAGUUGUUGAAAAAAAAAUCUCCCAACUUGAUGACAAAUGUGU